rnacentral:lncRNA from 1 species
AUGAGCAACUCCUUGAUUAGUCUGACUUCAAGGCCAUAUUUCAAAGACUCAAAAGGCACUGUGAACUAUUUUGAAAAAAUACAUUUUAAUAUAAACUUAAAAAGAUUUUUUUCUGAAAAAAGGAUCUUUUGUGAAGCUAGAAACAAUUUCAAUUACACAUUGGCUUCAUUAGUAUUGUGUUACCUUUUUUUCAGGACUGUCCAAAGAGUAAUUUUAAAAAUUUUCCUGUGUAAACCUAAUUAUGGUACCAACUCUACCCUCAAUCAAAUAAAAUUUCUGUAUAUACCCUGUGGAAAUGUAACUGUGAGUUUCAGAACUUCUCAAAAGAAGUGUUCAAACAGUGCUGCUUUUGCAUCUUUUGGACACCUUGAAAAACUUAUUAACUGUGAAUUAAAUGUUGCACAUUAUUCAUUCACUGUAUGGUUGUAUAUAUCAGGUAAAAAUGUUUCCAAAGAGCCAUGUGUCAUAUAGUAGUAAACCACUUUGAUACUGAGAUAUUAAUUUGUACUUUUGUUACUAUUUACUAGUAAUAAUGUAAUACUAUUAUAUAGUAAGAUUGCUCUAAUUCUUUUCAAAAUUGUUGCAUCCCUUUUUAUAGAAUGUUUAUAUUUCUGUAAAUAUCAGGUAUGCCAUUAUCCUUUCUUAUACCCUAGGAUGAAGCUGUUUUUGUGCUUUUUUUCUUCAUCAUUGGCCCUUCAUUCCAAGCACUUUAUGCUGUCUGUAAUGAAUCUAUUUUUGCACUGGAAUAUCUGAGAAUUGCAAAACUAUACAAAAGUUUCACAAUAGAUUUCUAAGUUAAACCAUUUUCAUUAAAAGGAAAAAACAAAAAUAUUUGUAUUGUUAAUAACUUUAUAUGAUGUAUUAAAGGCAUAUUUCUAUGUUGUAAUGAGUCACAAAAUAAAGCUGUGACAGUUAUAUUGGUCUAAACAAAUUUACUUUUGUAUGUUUGUAGCACCACCUACUGUUAAAGUAUGAUAAAGCCAUCACAAAAGUAAAUGUGUCUAGCAGGAGAGAAGCCAAAUAAAAAUUUUAGAAAAGGUUCAAAUGCCAUAUUAAUCCAAAAAGAUAAGUUGGGACUAGUUGAAAAUAAAGAAAAGGAUGUUGUGCAUUUUCAUAUCAGUUGAGAUAUUGAGUAACUGGUAUUUAAAAAGUUUUAAGGGGUUUUUAGAUUUAUUCUGCAUAAUGAUUAAGCUGCAGAAAUCUCUGAAAAUGCUCUAUAGUUAAGCUUAUUUAAUAAAAGCUUCCUUCGGUUUUAAGGAGGAUAGAAAGUCAGCCUUCAGUGUCUUUUUGUUUAUUCAACCAAAAAUACAAGGACACUGUGGCACAUAUUGAUUGGGGACGAUGGCAAGGAUAAACACGCAGAAGAAGUAGAAAAUAUGGGAAGGUAAAUGAUACAGAAG